CCUACGGGGGGCAGCAGUGGGGAAUAUUGGACAAUGGGGGCAACCCUGAUCCAGCCAUGCCGCGUGUGUGAAGAAGGCCCUCGGGUUGUAAAGCACUUUCAGUGAGGAAGAACGCCUGGUGGUUAAUACCCAUCAGGAAAGACAUCACUCACAGAAGAAGCACCGGCUAACUCCGUGCCAGCAGCCGCGGUAAUACGGAGGGUGCGAGCGUUAAUCGGAAUUACUGGGCGUAAAGCGCGCGUAGGUGGCUUGAUAAGCCGGUUGUGAAAGCCCCGGGCUCAACCUGGGAACGGCAUCCGGCACUGUCCAGCUAGAGUGCAGGAGAGGAAGGUAGAAUUCCCGGUGUAGCGGUGAAAUGCGUAGAGAUCGGGAGGAAUACCAGUGGCGAAGGCGGCCUUCUGGACUGACACUGACACUGAGGUGCGAAAGCGUGGGUAGCAAACAGGAUUAGAUACCCUAGUAGUA
rnacentral:rRNA from 1 species